rnacentral:rRNA from 1 species
AUUGAACGCUGGCGGCAUGCCUUACACAUGCAAGUCGAACGGCAGCACGGGAGCAAUCCUGGUGGCGAGUGGCGAACGGGUGAGUAAUAUAUCGGAACGUGCCCAGUCGAUGGGGAUAACGCAGCGAAAGCUGUGCUAAUACCUCAUACGAUCUACCAAUGAAAGCGGGGGAUUGCAAGGCCUCGUGCGAUUGGAGCGGCCGAUAUCAGAUUAGCUAGUGGGUGGGGUAAAGGCCCACCAAGGCGACGAUCUGUAGCUGGUCUGAGAGGACGACCAGCCACACUGGAACGGAGACACGGUCCAGACUCCUACGGGAGGCAGCAGUGGGGAAUUUUGGACAAUGGGCGCAAGCCUGAUCCAGCAAUGCCGCGUGCAGGAUGAAGGCCUUCGGGUUGUAAACUGCUUUUGUACGGAACGAAACGGCCCUUUCUAAUACAGGGGGCUAAUGACGGUACCGUAAGAAUAAGCACCGGCUAACUACGUGCCAGCCGCCGCCGUAAUAC